UCAAACUUGGUCAUUUAGAGGAAGUAAAAGUCGUAACAAGGUUUCCGUAGGUAUGUAAUCGUGUCGCUCCCCUAAUUUUGCGGACUUGUGCUAACUUUUCUAGGUGAACCUGCGGAAGGAUCAUUACCGGGUCUGGGUUCUUCGUGAGCCCACCUUCCCACCCUGUGUCGACCGUACCGUGUUGCUUCGGCGGGCCCGUCGCGCCGCCGUGCGUGACCGCCGGGGGGUCUCUCGACCCUUUGGUCCGCGCCCGCCAGGAGCCCCGUCAAACUCAUGGUUCAACGUGACGUCUGAGGAAAUACUAUAAUGCAAAUGCAAAACUUUCAACAACGGAUCUCUUGGUUCUGGCAUCGAUGAAGAACGCAGC
rnacentral:misc_RNA from 1 species